AUUGAACGCUGGCGGAAUGCUUUACACAUGCAAGUCGAACGGCAGCACGGGGGCAACCCUGGUGGCGAGUGGCGAACGGGUGAGUAAUACAUCGGAACGUGCCCGGUCGUGGGGGAUAACGUAGCGAAAGUUACGCUAAUACCGCAUACGAUCUGAGGAUGAAAGCGGGGGACCUUCGGGCCUCGCGCGAUCGGAGCGGCCGAUGUCAGACUAGGUAGUUGGUGGGGUAAAGGCCUACCAAGCCGACGAUCUGUAGCUGGUCUGAGAGGACGACCAGCCACACUGGGACUGAGACACGGCCCAGACUCCUACGGGAGGCAGCAGUGGGGAAUUUUGGACAAUGGGCGCAAGCCUGAUCCAGCCAUUCCGCGUGCAGGACGAAGGCCUUCGGGUUGUAAACUGCUUUUGUAUGGAACGAAAAGGCUCUGGCUAAUACCUGGGGCUCAUGACGGUACCGUAAGAAUAAGCACCGGCUAACUACGUG
rnacentral:rRNA from 1 species